AGUGAACGCUGGCGGUAGGCCUAACACAUGCAAGUCGAACGGCAGCACAGAGGAGCUUGCUCCUUGGGUGGCGAGUGGCGGACGGGUGAGGAAUACAUCGGAAUUUACUCUGUCGUGGGGGAUAACGUAGGGAAACUUACGCUAAUACCGCAUACGACCUACGGGUGAAAGCAGGGGAUCUUCGGACCUUGCGCGAUUGAAUGAGCCGAUGUCGGAUUAGCUAGUUGGCGGGGUAAAGGCCCACCAAGGCGACGAUCCUUAUCUGGUCUGAGAUGAUGACCACCGCCACUGGAAUUGAGUCACGGACCAGACCCCUACAGCAGGAAACAGUGGAGAAUAUUGCACAAUGGCCGACAGCCUGAUCACGGCAUACCGCGUAGUUGACGAAGGGCUUCGGGUGAUAAAGCCCUUUUGUUGGGAAAGAAAUCCAUCUGGUUAAUACCCGAGUGAGAUGACGGUACCCAAAGAAUAAGCGCCGGACCACGGCGUGCCAGCCGCCGCCAUAA
rnacentral:rRNA from 1 species